GACAGGGGUGCCAAGCGUUAGGCGGAAUCACUGGGCUUAAAGCGUGUGUAGGCGGGGGCCUAAGUCCCUUGUGAAAUCCCACGGCUCAACCGUGGAACUGCUGGGUAUACUGGGUGCCUUGGGUCAUCUAGGGGCUGCCGGAACAAAUGGUGGAGCGGUGAAAUGCGUAGAUAUCAUUUGGAACGCCAACGGCGAAAGCAGGCAGCUGGGGAUGCACCGACGCUGAGACACGAAAGCCAGGGGAGCGAACGGG
rnacentral:rRNA from 1 species